CCAAUAGCGUAUAUUAAAGUUGUUGCAGUUAAAAAGCUCGUAGUUGAAUUUCGGGACCAAUUUGUUGGUCGUGCCUCGGUACGUACUGGUAUUAUUGGUUUCUCCCUUCUGAAGAACCUCGAUGUCAUUAAUUUGGUGUCGUGGGGAAUCAGGACUGUUACUUUGAAAAAAUUAGAGUGUUUAAAGCAGGCAUACGCUUGAAUACAUUAGCAUGGAAUAA
rnacentral:rRNA from 1 species